rnacentral:misc_RNA from 1 species
GGCCUCCCCCAUGCGUUUUUGCAGUGCCACUAGCUCCAUGAGUGCAUCUUCCAGCUCCUUGGUUGCUGCUUUUAUGACCAACAUGCUACUUGCUUUUACAGACUUGAGCAUAGAACGCAUCCCAGCAAUCCUUUCUACUUCAGAAAUUUUUUCUAAUGGCUGGGUAAGCCAUGAAAGCUUUAGCUUUGUAGCCUCCAAAUCUUUCAUUUCAUUUUGGAGGACUUUAAUCUCAGAGACAGUGAGAGGAAUGUCAGUGCUCUGUAGUCGGCGAACAACAUCAGAGACAAUUUCAAGCAAACAAGCCCUUACUGAUGGUGACUUGUACUGGCAGAUCACCAUACUUGGCAAAUAUAGCUGUAAGUACAGGUGCAACACUAGCCUUGACUUCAUAGCCUUGCACAAUCGUUGUUCCACUGCAUACAUUGCUUCCUCCAUUAUUAGCUGGAAAUGUGUCUUCAGAGGAUGGGAUCUGCAUCUCUUGAUUCUGCUGCUUUUCUUUUUGACAACUCCAUGGGUUCACAGAUUGGUCUUGUUGCUGAAUAUACAGUUUAAGUGAAGAACCCGCACUCAGAAAGUCUACUGAUUGUCCCUUGUCAGUAGUUUCUUCAGUUCCAGGAUUUUCAGAUGUAGUUUUGCACCUAAGCCUCUUCCCACCCAUACAUUGGAUAGCUGGUCUUUCAUCAUUAAUCAAAUGUUCCUCAGAACCAGGGACAUCAAAAGACUUG